GAUGAACGCUAGCUACAUGCUUAACACAUGCAAGUCGAGGGGAAACGAUGAGAGCGCUUGCUCUCUUCGUCGUCGACCGGCGCACGGGUGAGUAACGCGUAUCCAACCUGCCUCUGACCAAGGGAUAACCCGUCGCAAGUCGGACUCCUACCUUAUGCAUGCGUCGGAAGUCAUCUGAUGACGACGAAAGAUUUCAUCGGUGAGAGAUGGGGAUGCGUCUGAUUAGCUUGUUGGCGGGGUAACGGCCAACCAAGGCGACGAUCAGUAGGGGUUCUGAGAGGAAGGCCCCCCACAGUGGAGCCGAGACACGGUCCAAACUCCGACGGGAGGGAGCAGUGAGGAAUAUUAGGCAAGGGGGGUAAGCGUGAACCAGCCAAGUAGCGGGAAGGAUGACGGCCCUAUGGGAUGUAAACUGCUUGUAUGCGGGGAUAAAGUGAGGGACGUGGCACUCAUUGCAGGUACCGCAUGGGUAAGGACCGGCUAAUUCCGUG
rnacentral:rRNA from 1 species